rnacentral:rRNA from 1 species
UACGAAGGGGGCUAGCGUUGCUCGGAAUCACUGGGCGUAAAGCGCACGUAGGCGGCUUUCUAAGUCAGGGGUGAAAUCCUGGAGCUCAACUCCAGAACUGCCUUUGAUACUGGAAAGCUUGAGUUCGGGAGAGGUGAGUGGAACUGCGAGUGUAGAGGUGAAAUUCGUAGAUAUUCGGAAGAACACCAGUGGCGAAGGCGGCUCACUGGACUGGUAUUGACGCUGAGGCACGAAAGCGUGGGGAGCAAACAGGG